CUAUGCGGCUUCGUCACUGUGUCCUUAUGUGUCGUAUUGGAGCCUGGUUGUGAAUUCUGCCUUGGUAGUAGUCAGUAUCCAGUGGGUCCAUAUGUCCGUGUACCUAUUCAAGGAGUUGGGUGUGGUCAUAAUGAGUUCCUCUAUGGCUCUGAGUUCCUCCAUUUGGGAGAACCAGGAUGUCAACGGGGGUGUCGUUUGUUGCUUCCAGAAUUGAGGGAUCACCUGUUUGGCAACGUUUAGGAUUCUAAUGGUUAGUGAGUGCUUGUAUCUCGUUCUAGGUGACUUUGUAUGGUGAAGGAGCAUGUGUUCUGGGAGGAAGGGGGGUGGCGUGUCUGAGAAGGUUUUGAGAAAGCCGUGUAUACCCCGCCAGAAGGGCUUUAUGGCUUCGCAGGCCCACCAAAGGUGGAGUACUGUGCCGGCCUCUCUAUUACACCUCCAGCAGAGAUCCGUGUGUUCCGGGUCCAUGGCAUGGAGUGCAAUCGGGGUGCGGUACCAGUUCGUUAACAAUUUAAACGCCGUUUCUUGUGUUUUGCUGAAGACUGAGCAGUGAUGCGUUAAGUAGCAUAUCUUUUCCCAGUCCCCAUCUGUGAAAGUUUUCCCCAAUGUUUGUUCCCA